rnacentral:rRNA from 1 species
UACGUAGGGUGCAAGCGUUGUCCGGAAUUAUUGGGCGUAAAGAGCUCGUAGGCGGUCUGUCGCGUCGGCUGUGAAAUCCCGGAGCUCAACUCCGGGUCUGCAGUCGAUACGGGCAAACUGGAGUACUGCAGGGGAGACUGGAAUUCCUGGUGUAGCGGUGAAAUGCGCAGAUAUCAGGAGAAACACCGGUGGCGAAGGCGGGUCUCUGGGCAGUAACUGACGCUGAGGAGCGAAAGCGUGGGGAGCGAACAGG